GAUGAACGCUGGCGGCGUGCCUAAUACAUGCAAGUCGAGCGAACAGACGAGGAGCUUGCUCCUCUGACGUUAGCGGCGGACGGGUGAGUAACACGUGGAUAACCUACCUAUAAGACUGGGAUAACUUCGGGAAACCGGAGCUAAUGCCGGAUAAUAUAUUGAACCGCAUGGUUCAAUAGUGAAAGACGGUUUUGCUGUCACUUAUAGAUGGAUCCGCGCCGCAUUAGCUAGUUGGUAAGGUAACGGCUUACCAAGGCGACGAUGCGUAGCCGACCUGAGAGGGUGAUCGGCCACACUGGAACUGAGACACGGUCCAGACUCCUACGGGAGGCAGCAGUAGGGAAUCUUCCGCAAUGGGCGAAAGCCUGACGGAGCAACGCCGCGUGAGUGAUGAAGGUCUUCGGAUCGUAAAACUCUGUUAUUAGGGAAGAACAAAUGUGUAAGUAACUAUGCACGUCUUGACGGUACCGAAUCAGAAAGCCACGGCUAACUACGU
rnacentral:rRNA from 1 species